rnacentral:rRNA from 1 species
UACGAAGGGUGCGAGCGUUGUUCGGAAUUAUUGGGCGUAAAGGGUCCGUAGGCGGGAUCGUAAGUUGGAUGUGAAAUCCCCGAGCUUAACUUGGGACGUGCAUUCAAAACUGUGAUUCUUGAGUGUUGGAGAGGGUGAUGGAAUUGCUGGUGUAGGAGUGACAUCCGUAGAGAUCAGCAGGAACGCCAGAGGCGAAAGCGAUCACCUGGCCAGAUACUGACGCUGAGGGACGAAAGCGUGGGGAGCAAACAGG